UGCCACGUGACCACACAUAUUUAAGAAGCAGUGCUGCGCGGGCUAGACGGGCGACUUGUUCGAAAUGCCUAGGAACCUGGUUUAGAGGUAAGUAUGUAACUAGGUGUGGCCAGUCGACCGGGGGGUUGCUGAUUGCUUCCGUUUCCCUCGAUGGUGUUGGUAAAUCCAGCAGCUUCUUCUUCUUCUUCUUCUUCUUCUUCUUCUUUUUUUUUUUUCCUUGGGUAAUUGGGCGAAUUGGGAAAUAUACGAGUCUGCAGUGUGUUGGAGAUAGGAGGAAUAUGUAUGGAAAAUGAGGUCCCAACAUAGUUUUUCAUUCAACCCUUUUCAGUUAUAUCCAUCAGAAUCCGAGAUAUCAAAAAUAGAGGGGUAUAGAGUCGUAAGGGAUAUAUAGCCAAAAAAAAAUACACUCUCAAGAGGAAAGCACAGAUAUACCAAAAACAAAUAAAUAAAUAAACAAAUAAAAGUAAAAAUGGACCAUCACCCGCUAAUACCCAUCCGCCUUUAUCUUAUCCCUCUCUUUUUCUCCUCCUCCGACCUCUCAUUAUUAACCUUCCACCACCAACGAUGCGUCUCAUCUCCCUGCCCCUCCUCCCCGCCCUUCUCAUCCCACGGCUUCGGAC
rnacentral:sRNA from 1 species